AGAGUUUGAUCCUGGCUCAGGAUGAACGCUAGCGGCAGGCUUAAUACAUGCAAGUCGAGGGGCAGCGCGGGUAGCAAUACCUGGCGGCGACCGGCAAACGGGUGCGGAACACGUACGCAACCUUCCCAAAACUGGGGAAUAGCCCUCCGAAAGGAGGAUUAAUACCCCGUAACAUAACGAAGUGGCAUCACUUUGUUAUUAUAGUUCCGACGGUUUUGGAUGGGCGUGCGCCUGAUUAGGUAGUUGGCGGGGUAACGGCCCACCAAGCCUGCGAUCAGUAACUGGUGUGAGAGCACGACCAGUCACACGGGCACUGAGACACGGGCCCGACUCCUACGGGAGGCAGCAGUAAGGAAUAUUGGUCAAUGGACGCAAGUCUGAACCAGCCAUGCCGCGUGAAGGAUGAAGGUCCUCUGGAUUGUAAACUUCUUUAUAUGGGACGAAAAAAGGGCAUUCUUGCUCACUUGACGGUACCAUAGGAAUAAGCACCGGCUAACUCCGUG
rnacentral:rRNA from 1 species